UACGUAGGGUGCGAGCGUUAAUCGGAAUUACUGGGCGUAAAGCGUGCGCAGGCGGUCCGUUGUGUCUGCGGUGAAAUCCCCGGGCUUAACCUGGGAAUGGCCGUGGAAACUGGCGGGCUUGAGUGUGGGAGAGGCGCGUGGAAUUGCAGGUGUAGCGGUGAAAUGCGUAGAUAUCGAGAGGAACACCUGCGGCGAAGGCGGGUUGCUGGGCUGAUACUGACGCUGAUGCGCGAAAGCCAGGGGAGCGAACGGG
rnacentral:rRNA from 1 species